CUUCUCUUCUCUUCUCUUCUCUUCUCUUCUCUUCUCUUCUCUUCUCUUCUCUUCUCUUCUCUUCUCUUCUCGUCCGGAUACAAAGCUUUUGGAGCUAUAUAAUGCUGUCUCAUUCUAAUGUAUUUCUUUGUUUUAUAUAACUAAUGUCUUGGCUCUGUCUUUGCCAUGAGGGAGCUUCUGAAUCUUGAGGGUUUGGGGGUCUUCAGCAAGCACUUUGUAUAAAUUAUAUCAACUCAAAGGAAACUUACAUCAAGCAGCGUGGAAAAGUCAUGAGACAUGGUGAACAUUACAGAGAAAACUUGUUCUUUAUAGCAGUGAACUGUUUUCAGAAGCGCACUGCACAAAGUUCUGCUGGGUGUAUUUUCCUUCUUGACCAUUUGCCAAGAGCAGAAGAUGAAGCAUUAGUGACGAUAGCGUUUCUACUAGUGACUGCUGGAAUCACUUGUGAACGACCAUGUUAACAAAUAAUUUUCACCCACCAAAAGGAACUGUGAAGCUGUUCACUCUCCCCACAAAAUCACCCAUCUGGCACAAAAAUUAAAACAUGGAAGUUUGCUUUAAUACAGUACUGACUAUGAACCAAAAUGGAGUACGAUCGCGGUAAAUGAGAUGCCUCACAGGUUCCCAGUGAUGAAGAGAAUAAGCCUGUAGCCUAGAACAGCCGUCCUUUUGCAUUAGCUUUGGAUUUUCCCAUGUACCAGUCAGGGAGUGCUAAAUUAAGCAUAAGGCUUUUUGGUAGCAAUCACUGUGCAACCUUUGCCUGGUGUUACAGUUUUGAGUACUACAGCAAAGAGCAAAAUGAGAGCAAAAGUCGGAUUUGGAAUCAAGUUUGUGCUAAGGUGCUUUCUGCAGCAGAGCUCAUCACUAUGCACUGAUGGUAGCAAAAUACAUCUACAGAGCCUUGUCCCAGGGUUUCACCAGGCUGUUCAUGU
rnacentral:lncRNA from 1 species